GACGAUCGCUGGCGGCGUGCUUAACACAUGCAAGUCGAACGGAAAGGCCCUGCUUUUGUGGGGUGCUCGAGUGGCGAACGGGUGAGUAACACGUGAGUAACCUGCCCUUGACUUUGGGAUAACUUCAGGAAACUGGGGCUAAUACCGGAUAGGAGCUCCUGCUGCAUGGUGGGGGUUGGAAAGUUUCGGCGGUUGGGGAUGGACUCGCGGCUUAUCAGCUUGUUGGUGGGGUAGUGGCUUACCAAGGCUUUGACGGGUAGCCGGCCUGAGAGGGUGACCGGCCACAUUGGGACUGAGAUACGGCCCAGACUCCUACGGGAGGCAGCAGUGGGGAAUAUUGCACAAUGGGCGGAAGCCUGAUGCAGCAACGCCGCGUGCGGGAUGACGGCCUUCGGGUUGUAAACCGCUUUCGCCUGUGACGAAGCGUGAGUGACGGUAAUGGGUAAAGAAGCACCGGCUAACUACGUG
rnacentral:rRNA from 1 species